rnacentral:lncRNA from 1 species
GGAGGGUAAGAUGUACGCAGUCCAUACCUCUACCUCUAAAGAAGUAGAAAGGCUGUUUCCGAUAGACCCCCGGCUCGGGACACAGAAUACUAAACAAAUUCAUAGUAAAGCAUGGAACAAGAUGGCAUAACAUAAAUACGACACCCACAAGUAAUAGUAAACAGAGAAAAGUAAACAGAUUCGUAAUAAAGCAUGAAACAAGGUAUCAUAACAAGAAUAAUAC